UACGAAGGGGGCUAGCGUUGCUCGGAAUCACUGGGCGUAAAGGGCGCGUAGGCGGCCGAGUAAGCGUGCGGUGAAAGCCCGGGGCUCAACCCCGGGUCGGCCGUGCGAACUGCUGGGCUUGAGCACUGUAGAGGCAGGUGGAAUUCCCGGUGUAGCGGUGAAAUGCGCAGAUAUCGGGAGGAACACCAGUAGCGAAGGCGGCUCGCUGGGCCACACCUGACGCUGAGACGCGAAAGCUAGGGGAGCGAACAGG
rnacentral:rRNA from 1 species